UUCACAUCAGAAAGACCCUGUGAAGCUUCGCUGUUCCAUAGGAUUGGGUUUAGGCCUUUCUUAUGCAUCUUAGGUGGGACGCGAAGAAAGCCUCCUUCUGGGGGGAGGGGCCCAAGCCAUCAGUGAGAUACCACUCUGGAAAAGUUAGAAUUCUAACCUUGUGUCAGGACCUACGGGCUAAGGGANAGCAGCAGUCUAGCCCCUUCAAAUAAUACUCUGCUUUGCCAACCUGCCAAUCUCAUACGAAUUUUUUCUACCACUUCUUCAAGAUCUCGAGCUCUCAAUCUUCCCUAGAUUAUAGGAAUCCCUAAAUAUUUGAAAGGGAAUUUACCUUCUGUGAAUCCAGUGAGUCGUAAGAGCAUCCGUCUUCUUGACACGGUGAUCUGUUUAGAGAAAAUGAUGGAUGUUUUGUCAACACUUACAACUUGUCCCGACCAUUCUUCAUAUUUUCGGAAUCCUUACUUAAUACCUCUUAAAGAUUUCUUCCUACCAUUUGCAAAUAUCACAAUGUCAUCAACGUACAACAUGUGAGAGAUUAGGGGAGCCCCCCUUGGCAAGGAAAAAGAUCUUAUGCUUCUAUCUUCAUAUUUAGCUCUCAACAUUCUAGACAAAACUUCUUCAACCAAGAUAAAGAGAUAUGGGGAUACCCAUCCGUCGAGCAGGGACGAAAGUCAGCCUUAGUGAUCCGACGGUGCCGAGUGGAAGGGCCGUCGCUCAACAGAUAAAAGUUACUCUAGGGAUAACAGGCUGAUCUUCCCCAAGAGCUCACAUCGACGGGAAGGUUUGGCACCUCGAUGUCAGCUCUUCGCCACCUGGGGCUGUAGUAUGUUCCAAGGGUUGGGCUGUUCGCUCAUUAAAGCAGUACGUGAGCUGGGUUCAGAACGUCGUGAGACAGUUCGGUCUAUAUCUGGUGUGGGCGUUAGAGCAUUGAGAGGACCUUUCCCUAGUACGAGAGGACCGAGAAGGACGCACCUCUGGUAUACCAGUUAUCGUGCCCACGAUAAACGCUGGGUUAUGAAUUGGAUGUUAUGCUAUGCAACACAACGUUUAAAUUAACUAAAAUGCAAUUUGAUGUUUAAGAUGCAAGUUAAAUGUAUUCAAUGAACGUGAGAUAUACUAGGAUCACGAAUUCUCAAGUAAUGUUCAAUUUAAACUUA
rnacentral:rRNA from 1 species